UACGUAGGGGGCAAGCGUUGUCCGGAUUUAUUGGGCGUAAAGAGCGUGUAGGCGGCCUGGAAGGUCAGCUGUGAAGACUCGAGGCUCAACCUCGAGACGUCGGUUGAAACCACCUGGCUAGAGUCCGGAAGAGGAGAGUGGAAUUCCUGGUGUAGCGGUGAAAUGCGCAGAUAUCAGGAAGAACACCCGUGGCUAAGGCGGCUCUCUAGUACGGUACUGACGCUGAGACGCGAAAGCGUGGGGAGCGAACAGG
rnacentral:rRNA from 1 species